CUGUUUGCUGUUGGAGCAUCAUCAAGAUUCACAAUUUUAGGGUUCUUUUUUGAUUGAGCCUUUUUAUGAUUGAGAAUCCUGAUGAUGCUGCAGUGGCAAUAAG
rfam:Gossypium raimondii Chr11_contig_1420, whole genome shotgun sequence.